rnacentral:rRNA from 1 species
AAAUUGAAGAGUUUGAUCAUGGCUCAGAUUGAACGCUGGCGGCAGGCCUAACACAUGCAAGUCGAGCGGUAGCACAGAGAGCUUGCUCUCGGGUGACGAGCGGCGGACGGGUGAGUAAUGUCUGGGAAACUGCCUGAUGGAGGGGGAUAACUACUGGAAACGGUAGCUAAUACCGCAUAAUGUCGCAAGACCAAAGUGGGGGACCUUCGGGCCUCAUGCCAUCAGAUGUGCCCAGAUGGGAUUAGCUAGUAGGUGGGGUAACGGCUCACCUAGGCGACGAUCCCUAGCUGGUCUGAGAGGAUGACCAGCCACACUGGAACUGAGACACGGUCCAGACUCCUACGGGAGGCAGCAGUGGGGAAUAUUGCACAAUGGGCGCAAGCCUGAUGCAGCCAUGCCGCGUGUGUGAAGAAGGCCUUCGGGUUGUAAAGCACUUUCAGCGGGGAGGAAGGCGUUAAGGUUAAUAACCUUGGCGAUUGACGUUACCCGCAGAAGAAGCACCGGCUAACUCCGUGCCAGCAGCCGCGGUAAUACGGAGGGUGCAAGCGUUAAUCGGAAUUACUGGGCGUAAAGCGCACGCAGGCGGUCUGUCAAGUCGGAUGUGAAAUCCCCGGGCUCAACCUGGGAACUGCAUUCGAAACUGGCAGGCUAGAGUCUUGUAGAGGGGGGUAGAAUUCCAGGUGUAGCGGUGAAAUGCGUAGAGAUCUGGAGGAAUACCGGUGGCGAAGGCGGCCCCCUGGACAAAGACUGACGCUCAGGUGCGAAAGCGUGGGGAGCAAACAGGAUUAGAUACCCUGGUAGUCCACGCCGUAAACGAUGUCGAUUUGGAGGUUGUGCCCUUGAGGCGUGGCUUCCGGAGCUAACGCGUUAAAUCGACCGCCUGGGGAGUACGGCCGCAAGGUUAAAACUCAAAUGAAUUGACGGGGGCCCGCACAAGCGGUGGAGCAUGUGGUUUAAUUCGAUGCAACGCGAAGAACCUUACCUGGUCUUGACAUCCACAGAACUUUCCAGAGAUGGAUUGGUGCCUUCGGGAACUGUGAGACAGGUGCUGCAUGGCUGUCGUCAGCUCGUGUUGUGAAAUGUUGGGUUAAGUCCCGCAACGAGCGCAACCCUUAUCCUUUGUUGCCAGCGGUUCAGGCCGGGAACUCAAAGGAGACUGCCAGUGAUAAACUGGAGGAAGGUGGGGAUGACGUCAAGUCAUCAUGGCCCUUACGACCAGGGCUACACACGUGCUACAAUGGCAUAUACAAAGAGAAGCGACCUCGCGAGAGCAAGCGGACCUCAUAAAGUAUGUCGUAGUCCGGAUUGGAGUCUGCAACUCGACUCCAUGAAGUCGGAAUCGCUAGUAAUCGUAGAUCAGAAUGCUACGGUGAAUACGUUCCCGGGCCUUGUACACACCGCCCGUCACACCAUGGGAGUGGGUUGCAAAAGAAGUAGGUAGCUUAACCUUCGGGAGGGCGCUUACCACUUUGUGAUUCAUGACUGGGGUGAAGUCGUAACAAGGUAACCGUAGGGGAACCUGCGGUUGGAUCACCUCCUUA